UGGGGAAUUUUGGACAAUGGGGGGAACCCUGAUCCAGCAACGCCGCGUGAAUGAAGAAGGCCUUAGGGUUGUAAAGUUCUUUUGUCAGGGAGCAAAGUCUAGCAGCUAAUAUCUGUUGGAGCUGAGAGUACCUGAAGAAUAAGCACCGGCUAACUACGUGCCAGCAGCCGCGGUAAUACGUAGGGUGCGAGCGUUAAUCGGAAUUACUGGGCGUAAAGCGUGCGCAGGCGGAUAUGUAAGUUAGAAGUGAAAUCCCCGGGCUCAACCUGGGAACUGCUUUUAAGACUGCAUAUCUAGAGUUUGUCAGAGGGGGGUGGAAUUCCAAGUGUAGCAGUGAAAUGCGUAGAGAUUUGGAGGAACACCGAUGGCGAAGGCAGCCCCCUGGGAUAAAACUGACGCUCAUGUACGAAAGCGUGGGUAGCAAACAGG
rnacentral:rRNA from 1 species